UACGAAGGGUGCAAGCGUUACUCGGAAUUACUGGGCGUAAAGCGCACGUAGGCGGAUUGUUAAGUCGGGGGUGAAAUCCUGAGGCUCAACCUCAGAACUGCCUUCGAUACUGGCAAUCUCGAGUCCGGAAGAGGUUGGUGGAACAGCUAGUGUAGAGGUGAAAUUCGUAGAUAUUAGCUAGAACACCAGUGGCGAAGGCGGCCAACUGGUCCGGUACUGACGCUGAGGUGCGGAAAGCGUGGGGAGCAAACAGGGAUUAAGAA
rnacentral:rRNA from 1 species